GAAGUGGACCGGGCGGUCGCUGUCGGCCAUGCUGGUCGGCGGAGGAAAGUCCGGGCGCCGGAGGACAGGGUGGUGGGUAACGCCCACCGGUCGUGAGACCCGGGAAAGUGCAACAGAAAGCAAACCGCCUAAGGCAGCCGUGGGUGAAGCAAUUUGUCGGCGGCGGCCCGGUAAGGGUGAAACGGUGAGGUAAGAGCUCACCAGCGAGCCAGGUGACUGGUUCGGCUAGGUAAACCCCACCCGGCGCAAGGCCGAAUAAGGACGUCGUGGCGUUUUCGUCCCCAGGCUGGUCCGGCCUGGCGUUGAAAUCAACGGGACGUCCGGGUAGGCCGCUGCCGUGCGGUCGCACGGUGAGGCGGCGAGCAAUCGUCGCUUGAGAGAAAUGAUCGCCCUCGGCGAUUUAAUUCGCGGGGACAAAACCCGGCUUAUAGGUCCACUUCAGGC
rnacentral:RNase_P_RNA from 1 species